rnacentral:rRNA from 1 species
GAUGAACGCUGGCGGCGUGCUUAACACAUGCAAGUCGAACGGUGAACGAGGGAGCUUGCUCCCUCCGGAUCAGUGGCGAACGGGUGAGUAACACGUGAGCAAUCUGCCCUGGACUCUGGGAUAAGCGUUGGAAACGACGUCUAAUACCGGAUACGAGACGCGAAGGCAUCUUCAGCGUCUGGAAGGAGCUUCGGUCCAGGAUGAGCUCGCGGCCUAUCAGGUAGUUGGUGAGGUAACGGCUCACCAAGCCUACGACGGGUAGCCGGCCUGGGAGGGUGGCCGGCCACACUGGGACUGAGACACGGCCCAGACUCCUACGGGAGGCAGCAGUGGGGAAUAUUGCACAAUGGGCGCAAGCCUGAUGCAGCAACGCCGCGUGAGGGACGACGGCCUUCGGGUUGUAAACCUCUUUUAGCAGGGAAGAAGCGGAAGUGACGGUACCUGCAGAAAAAGCACAGGCUAACUACGUGCCAGCCGCCGCGGUAAGAC